UACGGAGGAUGCGAGCGUUAUCCGGAUUUAUUGGGUUUAAAGGGUGCGUAGGCGGCCGAGUAAGUCAGCGGUGAAAUUUUGCAGCUUAACUGUAACAGUGCCGUUGAUACUGCAUGGCUAGGAUUUGGUUGCUGUGGGUGGAAUGUGUGGUGUAGCGGUGAAAUGCUUAGAUAUCACACAGAAUAUCGAUUGCGAAGGCAGCUUACUAAUCCAUCAUUGACGCUGAGGCACGAAAGCGUGGGGAGUCAAA
rnacentral:rRNA from 1 species